UGAACGCUGGCGGCGUGCUUAACACAUGCAAGUCGAACGAGAAAGGGAUUGCUUGCAAUCCUGAGUAGAGUGGCGCACGGGUGAGUAACACGUAGAUAAUCUACCUUCAAGCCUGGAAUAACUAUUCGAAAGGAUAGCUAAUACCGGAUGAAGUUGUUCAACUCAAGUUGAAUUAUGAAAGAUUGCCUCUUCUUGAAAGCAAUUGUUUGGAGAUGAGUUUGCGGACCAUUAGUUUGUUGGUGGGGUAAAGGCCUACCAAGACUACGAUGGUUAGCUGGUCUGAGAGGAUGAUCAGCCACACUGGAACUGGUACACGGUCCAGACUCCUACGGGAGGCAGCAGUGAGGAAUUUUGCGCAAUGGGGGAAACCCUGACGCAGCAACGCCGCGUGAGUGAAGAAGGCCCUUGGGUCGUAAAGCUCUGUCGACAGGGAAGAAGUUACAUCAUAUUAAUAGUAUGUCGUAUUGACGGUACCUGUAGAGGAAGCACCGGCUAACUCC
rnacentral:rRNA from 1 species